rnacentral:rRNA from 14 species
AGAUACGGCCAUACCAUGUAAGAAAAAUCCUCAUCUCGUUCGAUCUGAGAAGAUAAGUUGCAUCGGGCCUUCCUAGUACUCAAGUUGGAGACAAUUGGGGAAAAUAAGGUGCUGUAUCUU